ensembl:lncRNA
CACACACACACACACACACACACACACACACACACACACACACACACACACACACACACACACACACACACAGGUAUUUAUUUUCUCACCUGCUCCAUAAUACUUGAAAGGAGGCGGGGUCACCAGGCGCUUGCAGGAGGCCUGCAGUCUGGUUGGUCGGAUGUAAUACUCGUGUAAGUCUGGAUAUAGACCUGCAAACAACAAAGUAGCACAAUAAGGUAAACUAACUAUGAGCAACCCCCCACAUUGUAGUGCUUAGUCUAGAAAACCACCGACAGAAAGAGAUAGGGACAGACAAACAGAUGAGUACUGCAUCACCAUAGACAAGCAGGUAGUCCAGAGGGCUAUAUCCAGGCACAUAUGCUUUAGCCGUCAUGGCCAGACAUUCAUUGCAGGCCUUGAUGAACUGGAACGUCGCUGACGAUUUGAACUCUGAAAUAGAGACCCAAUGCAUGGUUUAUAUUCCUUAUAUAUACCCAAGUUGUUAUUAUAUUAUGUAUAUGACAAUUGUUUCUGAGGGUUGACAGUUGCUGUUAAUUUUCACACAGGGGCAAGAAUAAAAUGAAUUAUAAACUGAUAACUCGCUUUUAAUGCAGUUAAUAGAUACAGUAGAUCAACAAAGUGCAGGUUUACACAUUAUCAAAUAUAUCAUGCGAUUAUGCAUUUGUUUAUUGGUUCAUUUACUUACCGGGCAGAUUGAGUUGAAGUGUGUUGUUGUGUUGCUCAAUGCCCGUGAAGUGGUGGUGGACACACCACAUUGUCCUGUUUCUGUUACAUGAAGAAAGGAAUGAAACCUGUUGUUCUGGUUUCAAAGCCGCAGUUACAGCUACUUCAAGCUAAUGGACUACAGUACACUUUAACGUAAAAAGAUUUGAUUCUCCUGACAAGAGGCCAUAAUGUGCAACCCAAUAUAUAAGGUUUAAACCUACCAAAUAAUGAUCUACACACUGGUCUUCACCCAUUAGUGUUGAGUGCUCCUACCUAUGAAAGUGGAAGUGAGCGCUACUCACGGCGGGACACUCAGCAUGUGGGCCAUGUCCAGGUUAAUGGUGCCGUCGGGCAUCCUGGUGAACUCUGCCCAGGAGCUCUUAGCGUGUGUCAGGGCAUACUGAUCAAGGGAGUCACUAGAGUACGCCUCCUGCAUGAUCCACCUCCCAGUGAAGAUCUGAUCGAUAAUAGUGAAACAAAAGUUGUUUUUUUACACAAAUCCAGCUUCCUCAAAAAUCCAUAGAGAAAUUAAUUGUUGAGAUGUCCUCCUGUGUGCAUUUAAGGGGGCAGUCUAGGGGUAAGGUUGCAUUUCCAUAUGAAAGCUGCUGCGGUUUAACCCCCGAUCCCUGCAGUCUACUGGUACAUACCCUUGAGCAAUAUAACCUAACACCUCAGCCUGCUUCUCAGUGACAUGCAUCUUAAAUCACUCUAAAUCCCAUUUGAAGAAAGUCCCUGCAUGGUUAAAAAUGAAGUGCAUAAUAAUCAUAAUAAUAAUCAUAGAUUUGUCUGUGGGUUUGAUUCAUACCCGUUUAAGGAUGUCGUCAGAAGGGAUGGGUGCCAGGAGUAGGGAGCAGUUUGGUGAUGAUGGCACAGGGUAGUAGGCCUUCACCAACAGCGCCACCAGCAUGCCACCGUACAGAACAAAGAGACUAGGGCGCGGUUAAGGUAGAUGCAUCGACUUUGAGUGGCCACAUCACAAAUCAGCAUUGCAAAAGAUACACACUUUUACCCGUCGCACACCCAGUCCUUACUGGACUGGUUUUAACAGAUGUGGAUACAGUGUCGCAAUAUGGGUUUUUCUACAACAUUGCUUCUUGGUGAAUGGUUCCCUUCUGCUGCGCUUCUCUCCAUCCUGAUUCUCGACAUCGUCGCUGAUAAUGGGGGACUGACUGCCGAAGCCCGGGUCGGUCAUUUCCUAAGAGGGCCGUAAAGAGGAAGAAAAUCACUAACUUUUUGAUAAGACAUUACAAAACAAUCAGGAACAGUUUAAGGUCACGGCAUUGGUUUACGUUUGGAUUUGCAUCUACAUUGUCCUUACGGCUUUUGAAAAAUACCUAGGUCAGUUCACUUGUAUUUAAAUUUAAAUGGAUUAAAAAAUAACAGUUAUAGAGAUGUAUUUAUCUAUUCUUACUUAUUUCUUAUAUUUGUAUUAUAUGAUUAUGGGAUUUUUUGUGUGAAUUGUUCUAACGCCUUAAUUUCCCCUCAGAGGUGAAUCUAUGAUCUAUCCCUAUCAAUCCAUUUAUGAAGGACUGGCUUCACUCAUGAACAUAUUAAUAAACAUUUUCAACAUCAUUAUUGUUUUUCAAAAAUGAUAUGGUGUGCGUUAGCCUUUGCAUGCCAAAGAUGGUCAUCAAUCAUGUCAAUGAAACAGUUUUAAAAAAAAUAAGCAACUCACCAGUGAGAAUGAUUUCUUCCCAAUCUGACGUUAAUGAGCUGUUGAUGUCGUCGGUGUGGUUUUGCAUCUCCAAAUGCUGCUGGUGUCUAUAUAUACACAAGCCUCACUUCCCUUAAAUAGGGUUAAUGCUCAACUAGACGCAGGAUGUCAUGAGUGAAGGUGUGUGACCACAUGAUAUCUUGCAAUCACUGAGAAAAAUGCCUUCAAAGUAUUCAUACUGGCCGGCCAAACCUGUUUCAGGUACAAUAGUGGUGAUACUCUCAAUGAA